AUCCCAUGAUGAGGACACUUAUGAAGUAAUUCCUUGAAUCUUUCUCAUGCCUCAUACAAAGAUUCAAUUGUUGGAAAGUUGUUAUUUCAUUACACAACUU
rnacentral:snoRNA from 1 species